AGCUGCAGUCGAGAUCUUUCGCAAUGGGCGCAAGCCUGACGAAGCGACGCCGUGUGAGUGAAGAACGGCCUUCGGGUUGUAAAGCUCUUUCGCUAUGGUGAACAAGAAAGCUCGGAUAACACCCGGGAUAGAGUAUUGAUGGUACUUGGUAAAGAAGCACCGGCUAACUCC
rnacentral:rRNA from 1 species